rnacentral:misc_RNA from 1 species
AAACAAGCUCUAAAACGACCAAAAGGAGUACUGGCCGAAGGAGGAGCAUGCCUGCAUACCGCGACCAGCAAGCAAACUUUUCCAGGGAAGCCAAACCCAUUCAACGCACAAGUAAGCCACAAACAGAUUCUUCCUAUCACUACACCUUAGAAAAGCAAGCAAAGCCAAAAAAGGACUGCAAGAAAAUAAGAAUAAACUUAGUCCUGCAAACUAGCAAAGCGAAGAUUGGGUAGAAACCUUCACCCACUAAAAUCACAAGCCUCAGGCCAAGAAGAGUAAGGAAGCCAUACAUCAUCAUAGAACCCAUGUUAGAAAGGCAGUGGUAGGUCUCUUUGACAUCCUACUCGCGCCUUCCAGGAUAUCCCUAUCUAUGUUGGAGCCCAAUGAGUUGCACACCAAAAGCUCCUCCCCUCCCUCUUAUGCAAAUUCACAAACACUGUUCUCAUUUCCCUCUCACGCCACUUGCCUUUCUUAUCCCCUCGACUCUACACGACGCAACCUCAGCUUACGCCAACGACGAAAAACUGUAAAAUAUGUCCAAAAAUUUUCACUCCUUUCUCCUUCUCUGAAUCUUCAAUCCCCAAUUACCUGUCUCUUCACUGAUGUUACCUUCAAUGGAACCUGGUUCUUUACGCGACAAAUGCAUUGCCCCUAUCGCUCUUUUCUCUAGGGUUUCUACUUCUCUCUGCAACUUCUCUAAACGCACCGUUUCGUUACCAUCAGUUCCUCAAAGGAAUUUGUGCUCCGCUUCUACCCCCGAUGCGUUUGAUGGCUAAUUCUUGGAAGGAUGAUGAGAAGCGCACUACUAGUGGAGUUGUUGUGAGCAAGAAAGAGGACGAGGAGUUUCGGGAUUUGAAAUCUUGGAUGCACGAUAAUGGAAUGCCUCCUUGCAAAGUGGUUCUUCAUGAGAGACCUUCGCAUAAUGCUAAGCAUAUGGCCAUUCAUUACAUUGCCGCCAGUG